rnacentral:lncRNA from 1 species
AUGUGGAGAGACAGAGGGUUUGGAGCAUGCUCCAUAGGCUUCAGAACCCCUCCUCUCCCCUGCUUUCCUUCCCUCCCUCCCUCCCUCCCUCCCUCCCUCCCUCCCUCCCUCCCUCCCUCCCUCCCUCCUCCACCUCCUCCUAUCCUUUACCUUUCCCCCCAGUCCCAGGGAAAUCUUAGUGGGGUGAAAGGGAACAAGGCAGGGAAGGACUUUGCGGUGGGAUGGAGCUGGGAGGGUCAGGCUGGGGAAAUCACCACGCUGGGAAACUGGGGGUAUCACACAUGGCUGCUCCUUGAAUGUUCUGUGAGUGAGCAGCCCUGCUGUUCGGCCCAGAACCUGCUGGUCUGGGGAUUCUCAUCAGCGACAGACCUGCCCCACACUCUCCUGGUUCUGGUUGGACGAGACCACUGCUUGACUUGCCAUCACGUGUACCCUUAAAGAAUAGGAGUUCAUUGACCUGGAAGACACGCCUCAUCACAGCGUCUAACUUCAAGACUGUACUCUAGCAUUCAUUCUGCCUGUUGCCAUGCUUUAUACUUCACACCGAGCCUUUCACAUUGACUACCUCACCCUUCUUGCUCCCACACCGAUGGAUUGAAGGAACCCUCCAAUCCCAGCACUCAGAAGGCAGAUGCAGGAGUCUGAAGGCAGCCUGGUCUAUAAAGUGAGUUCCAAACCAGCUCAGGAUAUAUAGCCAGACUUGGUCUCAAAAAGCAGGAGCAAAACAAAUCGAAAACAAAGGAACCCUCAAUAGGUGCACAUUUUCAUUUGCACAAGCUAUGCUUUUUUUUGUAUGUAUGUGUGUGUACACAUGCACAUUCAUGUGUGAAUAUGGGUAUAUGCUACUGUGUACAUGUGAAGGUCACAGGACAAGCUGGGUGUUGGUGCUUACCCUCAACCUUGCUUGAGACAGGCUAGCCCUGUUUUUCCUGCUGGGCACCUCAAGCUAGUUGACCUUUGUACUUCAGAGGAGUUUCCUGUUUCCUCUUCCCAACUGCCCAUCGGAGUGCUGGGAUUUCACAAUUACUUGAGUUGAAUGCCUGGAUUCUGUGUGGAUUCCAGGGAUUCGAACUCAUGUUCUCUCACUUGCACAGCAAUUACUUUCACCCCUAACCAUCUUCCUACUUUUGGAAAAUGAUACUUUGAUAUAUACAUUGAAGAUGGGGCCCGGUCGGAGAGUCAGCAAACAGUGGUGUGGGGAGCCCCUCGGUUGUUCCAAAGGCAAAUUCUAAGGAUAUGCAUGAAGUCAGGGUCCCUAAUUUCUCCACCAAUCUGAGCAGCUCCAUGGGUAGAUAAACCUGCCUUCUGUUUUGUGACUUCAAAUGUAAAAUUCCUUGGUGUCAGGGAAGAAAAAAAUAUUUUGUUGUAAAGAGAAACAGGUUGUCCCAUAGUCUAGGGACUGUGGGCAGUUUCCUGGGAGGCAUAUGGAGCAAGCAGGCCUGCUAGGCUGCUAGGGCCUGUGCAUUCCUGGGCCGAGGCUGUGACAGGCCUCUGGGCUAUCUGUGGCUGGCUGGAAUGCUGUGUAUUUACACUCCUUCAGAGCAGAAAGAGGCCUCUGGAGACCAGGCUGGAAUACCAACAAUUCCCCCAGGCUUUAAUGAGGGAAAAAAAAGUGUGCCUUUCCUUCCUAAUUUUGUUUCUUAAACAAAUCUAAGCACAGUUACACAAAGCAUGGUCUGUGGUAUCUGGUUAUUGGCAAUUUCUCAUGAGAAAAUUCUGGAAACCCGUGGGACUUCUUGCAUGCUGGAGGACUGCAGAGCCCACUGAGGGCUUGCAGGGUGGGUGUCUAGGACUCUGGUGACUGCUCCGGAGAGAAAGGGGAAGAGGAAUGAGUUUCCAGUUUGCUGUGUUCUGUUUUCCCCAUCAAUCUGGCAUCUGAUUCAUCUAUUUUCAACAGUAGGACUCCCUAGCAAUAAGAUAAAGAUCCACUCCCUAGCUCUGGAGAGGGGUGUCUCUGGGCUCAGUGUAGCCACAGCCUUCAUGGAGCCAGCCUGUCUUCUGCCCUGCUCCUCCCUGGGAACUCUUGAGAACAGGGCCUGUGUGGAGUGGAUUAGAAGAUCUGAGCUGGGUGUUUGUGUUUGCAUGGGCUAGAUGGGUGAGAUGGUCCCACUGUAUUGGCUCUCCAGUUUUCUUGGACUAGCUUUAAAAUCAUGUUUUUCAUGGUAUGUACUCAUAUAUGGGUUUUAGACAAAGAGUAAAGGAUUACCAGCCUACAAUCCACACUGCCAGAGAAGCUAGGAAACAAGAAGAACCCUAAGAGAGACAUACAUGGAAAGGGUCAAGAUCCCCUGAGGAAAUCGGGAGCACGGGAAGACGGGGGAGGGAGCUAGGAGAAUGAGAAGGGAAGAAGAGGAGGGAUGCAGAGGACAUGAGGGAGCAGAAAGGUUGAGUCAGGGGAAGAAUAGAAGAUAACAAGAAUGGAGAUACCAUAAUAGAGGGAGACAUUUUAGGUUUACAGAGAAAUCAGGCACUAGGGAAAUGUCUGGAGAUCUACAAAGAUGACACCAGCUAACAAUCUAAGCAACAGAGGAGAGGUGACCUUAAAUGCCCUCCCCUGAUAAUGAGAUUGAUGACUGAUUUAUAUGCCACCUGAUAGCCUUCAUCCAGCACCUGGUGGAAGGAGAAGCAGACACCCACAACUAAUCACAGAACUGAACUGGAAUCCAGAUGCAGAGAAGGACGAGUGAAGAGCAAAGGGUUCCAGAUCAGGCUGGCGAAACCCACAGAAACAGCUGACCCUAACAUUGGGGAACUCUUGCUUCCCAGACUGAUAGCUGGGAUACCAGCAUGUGACUGAUCCAGACUCCAGGAACAUGGGUUUCAGUGAGGAAACCUUGGAAAUCUACAAGGCCUCCUGUAGUAGUUCAGUACUCAUCCCUAGCAUAGGUGUGGACUUUGGGAGCUCAUUCCACAUAGAGGAAUACUCCCGGAGCCAAGACACACGGGGGUGGGCCUAGGCCCUAUCCCAAAGGAUAUGAUAGAUUCUGAUGACACCCUAUGGAAGGCCUCACCAUCCAGGGGGCGCAGAAAGGAUAUGUGAUAGGUAGGGUUUUAGUUGGAGGGGUGGUAGGGGAGGAGGGAUGGGAGAGGGAACUGGGAUUGACAUGUAAAACAAUCUUGUUUCUAAUUCAAAUAAAAAAAUCUGCAAAAAAAUGGAGAAAAAAAUA